GCCCCGCUGGCUCAAUGGUAGAGCAUUAGGCUUCUAGUGUUGAUUUCUAUCAAUAGGUAACCUAAAGGUUGCGGGUUCGACCCCCGCGUGGGGUU